rnacentral:pre_miRNA from 1 species
UUGUUUGCCUUUGCAGCAUCAUGAAGAUUCACAAGAGAACUUUCUUUUUUGAAGAGAGCGUCUUUUUUAAUAAUUAACGGUGGUUUAGUUUAUGUGGUCCCUAAUUCCACCUUAAAAGCGUCUCUCUUCAAUAUGAUUUUACCAUGGGAAUCUUGAUGAUGCUGCAGUGGCAAUAAA